GUUAUAUUUCGGUUCAUAAAUUUUUGUGAUUCUUUUGGAAUUUUUUUUUUUUUUGAAAAACAGAUGGCAAUGUUAACUGUUUCAUCCAUUAGACGAAAUAAACUUAACAAUCGAGAUGAAAGCAGCCAAGGCCUCCAAAAGGAAAAAGAAUAGAUAGACGAAUCAAACUAUGUAAAUAAGAAAAAAAAUCUGCAGAGUUCUUUCCAUAGAAUCGUCAUUAGUCUGACACGUUCAAACGACUGAGAAGGAAUGGCAUAUUUGGCUCUGAAGAUUAUAUUGUUCCUCUCAGUCCAGGCAAUCCACAAGAUAG
rnacentral:lncRNA from 1 species